UACGAAGGGGGCUAGCGUUGCUCGGAAUCACUGGGCGUAAAGCGCACGUAGGCGGCUUUUUAAGUCAGGGGUGAAAUCCUGGAGCUCAACUCCAGAACUGCCUUCGAUACUGAGAGUCUCGAGUCCGAGAGAGGUGAGUGGAACUGCGAGUGUAGAGGUGAAAUUCGUAGAUAUUCGCAAGAACACCAGUGGCGAAGGCGGCUCACUGGCUCGGUACUGACGCUGAGGCACGAAAGCGUGGGGAGCAAACAGG
rnacentral:rRNA from 1 species